CUUUACCCCAUGGACUGUGGUGAAAGCUACUGCCGUCCACAACCAAAAGAUACCUGACAACCGGAGGCAAUUCAAAACAGCCGGGUUGUCUUAUCAGCUCAUCCUAUCUGUAUUCAGGAGGAAUGGAGGUGAUGACUGGGCCGAUCCCUGCCCGAAAUUUCCGGCUGUGACGAAGAAGAAUCCAGUUGGAGGCCACAUGGGAAAGCGAAGGGAGGCUUGCCGUUUGCUCCGCUCCAUUUCCGCCGUUCUUCUGCCAAGUUCCCAGUGACCCACGCGCGCACAAAAGAAAAGGUUGCCCGUUUGGAAGCAUAUGGCCUGUGCCGUGUCGCCUCCGUCGCUCCGUGGAUCGCAGCAGAAGCCACACCGCACAUGCAGAUGCAGAAUCGCAGAGGCUAGAGAGGAAAAGGAAAAGUCGAAGAAAUGAAGAAGAGGGCCGCGGGCUGCUGGUGUACCACCUACGCAGCUCAGGCCUGGCGCAGCUGCGCGCGGUGCCCAGCCGCCGUGCCGCUCGGGUGCCGCCCCUGCCCGCUGCCCCUGCCCCACCGCCGCCCGCCCGCUAGCCACUAGCUAGGGUUCGCCGCCGCCGCUGGCCCCGGCGGUAAGAGUCGGGAAAGGAGGGGGCAGUUUAGGCUAUUUUGCGCCGGUUGAGGGGAGGGGAGAGUAGUUGGGCCGUUUGGGCCGCCGCAACUGGGUCCGGAGGAGGGGGAGUAGUGGGCUAUUUGAGCCCAAUACGCAAUUUAAGAUU